CCUGAUGGGUAGUUUGACUGGGGCGGUCGCCUCCUAAAGGGUAACGGAGGCGCCCAAAGGUUCCCUCAGCCUGGUUGGUAAUCAGGUGGUGAGUGUAAGUGCACAAGGGGGCUUGACUGUGAGACUGACAGGUCGAGCAGGGACGAAAGUCGGGACUAGUGAUCUGACGGUGGCUUGUGGAUGCGCCGUCACUCAACGGAUAAAAGGUACCUCGGGGAUAACAGGCUGAUCUUGCCCGAGCGCUCACAGCGACGGCAUGGUUUGGCACCUCGAUGUCGGCUCGUCGCAUCCUGGGGCUGGAGUCGGUCCCAAGGGUUGGGCUGUUCGCCCAUUAAAGCGG
rnacentral:rRNA from 13 species